GCCGCCACUAGGGGCGCCGUUCGCCAGCACCCACAUGUCGACGCCGUCGCCAGUUCUCUGUCGGAGCUCCCUUCUCCUCCACGCCCAGCCCAAGGCCCUCCCUCUCUCCCCAGCUCUGUUCGCAACCCACGGUCACCAGCUCUCCCCAGCGCCAUCGUGCUCCUCCCGAGCCACCACUCCACGCCAAGCAACCACCACGACCACCCUUCUCGGCUGAAGCUCACACAGAUGAGGUGUUUGCUCAAAUUACUUUGAUUCCAGAGGCAGAGCAAGACAAGCCAAGUUUGGAGGAUGAAAAUGAUGUGUCUUUGCCUCAAAGAACCAGUCUAUGCUCCUAUGUCAAGAAACUCACUGCCUCUGACACGAGCACGCAUGGUGGAUUCUCUGUUCCCAAGCGACAAGCUCAAGAGUGCUUCCCCCCUCUGGUUAGUAUCUCCUUUACCACAUCAAUUUCACUGAGUCACUGACCACAAA